rnacentral:rRNA from 1 species
AACAGGAUUAGAUACCCUGGUAGUCCACGCCCUAAACGAUGUCUACUAGUUGUCGGGUUUUAAUUAACUUGGUAACGCAGCUAACGCGUGAAGUAGACCGCCUGGGGAGUACGGUCGCAAGAUUAAAACUCAAAGGAAUUGACGGGGACCCGCACAAGCGGUGGAUGAUGUGGAUUAAUUCGAUGCAACGCGAAAAACCUUACCUACCCUUGACAUGGAAGGAAUCCCGGAGAGAUCUGGGAGUGCCCGAAAGGGAACCUUCACACAGGUGCUGCAUGGCUGUCGUCAGCUCGUGUCGUGAGAUGUUGGGUUAAGUCCCGCAACGAGCGCAACCCUUGUCAUUAGUUGCUACGCAAGAGCACUCUAAUGAGACUGCCGGUGACAAACCGGAGGAAGGUGGGGAUGACGUCAAGUCCUCAUGGCCCUUAUGGGUAGGGCUUCACACGUCAUACAAUGGUACAUACAGAGGGCCGCCAACCCGCGAGGGGGAGCUAAUCCCAGAAAGUGUAUCGUAGUCCGGAUUGUAGUCUGCAACUCGACUACAUGAAGUUGGAAUCGCUAGUAAUCGCGGAUCAGCAUGUCGCGGUGAAUACGUUCCCGGGUCUUGUACACACCGCCCGUCACACCAUGGGAGCGGGUUUUACCAGAAGUAGGUAGCUUAACCGCAAGGAGGGCGCUUACCACGGUAGGAUUCGUGACUGGGGUGAAGUCGUAACAAGGUAACC